rnacentral:lncRNA from 1 species
GCCUUAACCAGGAGCAAGGGGCAACUACCUCAUCAGAAAAUCAGUGCCAAAGCUUCCAUCCUAACUGGCUCCAAGAAAUGUCCUCAUGUGAACUGCCACUAAGCACCCAGCUUCCUGGUCCACAGGAUGAAGCAAUGGUAACGCUGUGAAGGCAGACGCUGGGUACUCAUGGCUGGGCAGAGCUGUCCAGCGGAAAGCGUAGUGUCUGUUGCUCAUAUUCCUACCCCUUCCAGUUGGUCUUUAGCCCCCUAAGUAUUUGUCUUACAUUCUCUUCAACUAUGCUCACUUGUUAAAGGCAUAUACACAAAGAGGAGUGGAGGGGGCUAAUCCUGUAUUUCACAUGCUCUAAAACUAAACAGAGCGUGAGAGGAGAGUUUACAUCACAUCUGACAUUCUUACUGAUCAUUGCUGAUAAAAACUGGCAGAAAGAAAGGUAAUCGGAGCCUCGGGAAUUCAAUUCCCUCCUUUAAUCCACUCAGCAGAUAUUUUAUUUUUAAAACACAAGUGCAGCCAUCAGCAAAAUUGAGAGGCUGUAUGGGACCCUGAGGCACUUUUAAACUUUGGAGCUCUCUAAACUCCCACCCCAUCCCUACCUUCAAAUGGUCCCUCACAGCCAUUUCUUCUGCUUAGGUGUUACCCACCCCCUAGCCCCCCACACCCCCACUAUUUCUUUCCUUUACUCCCUAGAAACCAAUUAAAAGAAGAAGAAGAAUUUGCCUUUUGGCAUUAAUUAAAGAAAGAAGAAGCCUUUCUGAUCUAGACCCUCAGCUAGAGAUUUGUGCAGUCCAUUACCCUGCUACUUAGGCUUCUCAGAUCCACACCAUGUCUUUCUUGUGUUCGGAAGUAGUAGCACAGGGCUGUCUGAUUUUCAGAUAGUUCAGGCUUCUUCUGUCAUUAAGGCAUUGCCAGAUAGUUCCUACCAGCAGAGAAGAGCAGGCAGUUCCUGUGCGUGGCCUCCUCUCUAUCCUAGGCAUUUGGCACAGAACAUUGUCUGCCUGACAGUGCUCCGUCAAGCCUUCUGAACGACCAGCCUUCCUGGAAUAGCCCAGUAGUUUCAACCAGAAAAUGAACUUAGUUCCACUUGCAAAUUUCUGCUGUUCUGCACUGCAGCAAGAUACCCUAGAAGAUUUCUUCUCAUAAGAUUUAAAAGUAAAAUCUACAGGCAUGACCACCACAUGUGUUCCACUUACAGGUCGGGUGAGAUCGAUGCUUCACUUCCAAUCUCAAGCUUGUUGCGCAACUCUAUCUGGAGAUGUGACUGUCAUCCGAGGAGUCAUACUGCACUCGUUCACCUAUCCCUGCAUGCCCAAGCUUUGGGUACGAGCAGUGUCAGCAUAUUAGUGGAUGACAAACAAGCCUGAAAAGCAUAGUGUACCCUUUUCUCUGGGAUGGGGGUCAAAGCAUUAUUGAUAAGGGAAUAGGCAUUCAGUCAGCCCCUGUGUUCCAUCUGCUGCUCAAAGUAGUUAGCUCUACUUUGAAGUCAAAAACAAAAAGAUUAUGACCAAACUGUAAUCAUUGUUCGUGGCUAUUAUAUCUACCUAUGUAGACUGAAAUGGAGACUGUUGGUUUAAAUCUGGUUCCUAAUAGCAAGCUACUGGCACUGUCCCUUUUAACCAUAUAAACAGGUCUUUUCCUUCAGCUCUGAGCCUGGGCUUGCUUACCUACAAUCUUAAGGUCUUUAUCUCAAGAACUCUGAGAAAGAUUGAGUAAGGUAAAAUCCUACCUGCAUAUUAGCUUUAAGAAACUAACUCAGGUAGUUGAAGAAGCUUGGGCUUUUAAAUUAGAUGUGGGACCAGUUUCCUAGAACUGCGAACUGCCCCUGUAUAUGUGACCUUUCACAGGAAGCUCAAUUCCCUUGAACCUUAAUUUCCAUAUCUUUAAGAUGGAAAAAUACUACCCUGACCCUUAGAGCACCAGCAUGGGGAUUAGUGUGUAGAUGAAAGAUAUGUGUAUACAUAUACAUUUAUAUUUUACAUAUAUGUGUGUGUAUAAGUUUGUUUACAUAUAUAUUUAAAUUAUUGGUGUGAUCAGAAAAAGUGUAUGCAUGCUGUUUUAACAAGUUCCAAGGGAGUAUUACACUGGUACAACACAUAGGGCACACUAAGUUCUGGUGUAUUUACUGACAGUGUGAUAUCACCUCUUUUGUAAUUGAAUUGUUACUUCACAGUUACUCUAAAUUCCAUGACUGUAGGGAGACUGUUUCUCACCUCAUAAGCAGCUUCUAGUAACAUACUACAUGUGUCUAGGCCCUCAGGAAGUCUGUGCAAUUAAUGAUUGCCUUUUUUCAUCUGUCAUUAUUUUUUUCCCUCUGAUAACUUCAUGGAUAUCAUUUACGUUUGUAAAAAUGACUACAAAUUAGAAGACAAUGGUCAAUUCAGAAAAUCCUCAAAGCUGCUCCCAUUCUGCACCUUUGGGCUUCAAAUGGCUCUGAGGAGGGCACCUGAAUGCAUUUUAUAAUCCAACAUGUGUGGAGCUCCUUGAGGGUAUGGAGAGGUCCUGGGAAACGCUGAUUCCUGGACAAUGCUCAGUCUGUAGUAACAACCCGUUUCCAGAUACUUUCACUCUCUCUAUCCAAACUCAUAUAUUAAGUCAUCUCCAAAUUGGUAAAAACAAUGUCUUAGGGACCUUUUGUGCUUCAUCUAUUUUGAACAUGAAGUAACAUCUUCUAGCUUGUUCUCCAAUCCUAGGAUUCAUUUCAAUCAUGAAACCCUACUACUCCAAGAGAUCUUUGUUGCCAUCCCUGACAGCCUCUGGGUACUUGAUUCUCCUUUGUCCGAAUUUUGCAGAACUCCACCGUGGGGUAACUUUUUUCCCCACUUAAGAUAUGGGGGACCUUUGGGAUAGCAUUGAAAAUGUAAACGAGGAAAAUACCUAAUAAAAAAUUUUAAAAAAAGAUUCUUUUUAUAACUGAGUUAAAUCACAAGCUAUUACUUGUGAGUCAUGUUUUUUUCCCUGUGUAGCCACAAAAGGCAACUGACACCACAGCUCCUGCUACCCUUGAAGCACAUGUCCCAGAGGUCGUGUGCCAGAGUGUCUGUCUUCAGCUCCACCUGGCUCCUGAUGAGCUUUUGUUUUACAUGAGGCUGUGGAGUCAGGGGCUUUGCUCCCUCUUUUCCUACCAUCUCACCCAGAGAGCUUUUCUCAAUAUGACAGCCAAAUAAAGAUGAAUUAUCUCCUUGCAAAGUUAAUUUCUGUUUCUCAGCAGGGAGCCACUGGCCCCACUGGGCUUGAAAGUGCUGCUGUUUGGUUAAUGGAUGAGCCUCUCUUGGAUGCUGGUACCCACACUGGAACUGCUGCAGUGCCUGACUUUCCAUUUGUUUUAAUUUCCUACUUGCAGCUGGUGUUAGGAGACCUAAAUGGGUUUAUUCACAGGAUAGUGGUUUGGAGUCAUUAGCCCAGGAAUGAAGGCGAGGGCUGGUGAGCUUCUUUCAGGCCAUCCUUGACCACUUGGGAAAGUUUAAGUAGUUAAGUUGGUUGGCUUUUUAAGAAAGUGAAAUCGCAAACUCCUAGGACAAAUGACCUAAUGGAGUAGGCUCGUCUCGUCUCUGACUUUCAGGAGUUGGAAAAUAAUGACAUUUUUUAUGUCUUAAAUAUAUGAGUGUGACAAAAUAAAAUAAGAUGGUGGAUAAAGAAUAAUCUGGAAUUUUUAAGUACAAUUAGUGAUCAAUAUCAGGAAGCUAUAAAAUACAGAACUAUACAGCAAAUAGUUGUUUAAUGUUCUAGCAGAGCCAGAAUGCAAACUGGAAAAGUCCUUAUGAUGAAUCUGGAAUUUCUCUGUUAGAUUAUGACAUUGCCAUUUGUCCUUUGAGAAGGUCAAAAUCUGGCCAUCGUUCCUGUAUUCAGAUACAAUGCUGAUUGGUGGGGGGUGGGGGUAAAGUUGUGAAGCAACAGAACACUAUUGGUAUGGUUUGUCUUCUGAAACAUUUAAAGCUUAUAGGAGAAGAAGACCAUGUGUCCUUGAGAGGAUCCCAACUCUACGCUGUGGACUGUGUAUCAGAAAUAAUGCCCAGAGUUGCUAUGCUCAUGGAACAUUUGGCUGCAUAGACUGGUUAAUGUUGGACAGCUCACUGUCUCAUUCUAAGCUUCAUUUCCACAGCAUCUCUACACUCAAUACAGUCACGCCAACAGUGUGCGAGAGCUCCAGACUACAAGUUCCAAGAAAGGGAAAGAGCCAGGACUCCCCAGUCCUACAAAGUACUAUUUCACAAUGGAAGACUGACUCUGGUGACUCUGCGAUGAGUUCAUUUUGCAGUUUGUGAGAGGGAAGAAGGAGGUGUGCAGAUGGCUAUAUUUGGGCAGAUAUGGUAGGCAUAUAUCUCAGUGCCCACUGUUUUGGCUUUCAUACCAAAGGUAUAACAUCACAGAGGUAUUGGUGACUGGUGAAAAUUAACUAGGUAAAAAGUCAGUGUGGAGAGCCAAGGCAUGGAAGUACUAAGUAGAUGUGGCUGCUUUUCUCCUGACUCCCAGUUUUCU